CACGUAGGGCGCAAGCGUGUCCGGAAUUAUUGGGCGUAAAGAGCUCGUAGGUGGUUUGUUACGUCCGCUGUGAAAUCCUAGGGCUUAACCCUGGGCUUGCAGUGGAUACGGGCAGACUAGAGGUAGGUAGGGGAGAAUGGAAUUCCUGGUGUAGCGGUGAAAUGCGCAGAUAUCAGGAGGAACACCGGUGGCGAAAGGCGGUUCUCUGGGCCUUACCUGACACUGAGGAGCGAAAGCGUGGGGAGCGAACAGG
rnacentral:rRNA from 1 species